rnacentral:rRNA from 1 species
GACGAACCGUGCGAACGUUGUUCGGAAUCACUGGGCUUAAAGGGCGCGUAGGCGGGCUGCCAAGUCCGUGGUGAAAUCCCCCGGCUCAACCGGGGAACGGCCGGGGAUACUGGCGGCCUAGAGGCGGGUAGGGGCGUGCGGAACUGUGGGUGGAGCGGUGAAAUGCGUUGAGAUCCACAGGAACUCCGGUGGCGAAGGCGGCACGCUGGACCCGAUCUGACGCUGAGGCGCGAAAGCCAGGGGAGCGAACGGG